UCUCGAUUCCUCCUUCCCCUGCCUCCGGCUUUUGCCGCAAGAUGACGGAGACGACUUUGUUCCAAAGCGAAGACAGAUCUCAUGGCGGAAUCCACGACGAAAGACGUAGCCUUCCGUUAGGAUGAUUCUUGUUGGUGCUCUCCUCAUCGUCGUACGUUCUCCGGUGCUCCAGUGAUGGCGGAUGCUUCUUUUGUUUGCUUCUUUCCGUAGGGGUUUGAGGAGUUCCAGGAAUGGCGGAGGGCGGUGGCGGACGAGCCAAAGCUCGGUUCUUGCGCUGUCCCAACUGCGAUGCUCUCCUCCCGGAUCUCGGAAAUUUCACUGCCUGCCGUUGCGGUGUUUGUGGUUCUACUGUCCGAGCAAAGGGAGAUAAUUUGGCAAUAGAUUCUACUCCAGAGAGAUCUUAUAAUAGGGUCGAUCUGAGACCGUUUGCGAGUGAACCACAUGAUGGAAUUGGGAGGUACCGCCGAUCUUCGAAAGCUCGAUUUAGCGAUUCCACAUCCAGUGAAGAUGAGAUGGCCAAAGGAUCGAAAGAGGAGCGAGGAACGAAACCUGACAGGAACAGAGUACCGACAUUCUACCGAACGACACGAGAUCGGAUGAAGGCCACUCCAUCACCAAAUUACCUGGAAGAAGGGCCGUCUGCUUUGCAUGAUGGAUCUUAUACUGAUGACCGUUCCAAGAAGCAAGAUCAAUCUUGGAUUGAUGGAGUUGACCACCUGAGUCAGAACCCGAUCCAGCUUCUGAAGCAGCUUGAUGAAUUAAGAGAUCGGAUCGGUCGACCAUGUGAGGUCACUGAGGAACCAAAGGAAAGGAUGCCAUUGAAGCUACGUGGGCUACAUGUACCUGAGAGAACUUAUGUUCCCGCUGCUCAGUACCCAGAGAGAUUAAGGAUCCGUAGACAACUCGAUGUAGAUCCUUUGGUCUAUAAUCAUCAUGAUGAAUUUGAUCAUGAGCCUGCCUGCUCUUGUACACACUGCUAUCACAAAUAUAGGUUGUUGCCAGACAGGGUUGUCCCUCAUUCUGUCAGCUCCCAGAGCCGGAGAGGUAGUUAUCUUGUGCAGAAUCGUGGGUCCUAUCCUGUCAGGACACAGGAAUACAAUCAACGGGUGCGAUCUCGAGAGCCUCUUAUUCAGAAACGGGCCACGAUCUCCAAAAAGAAGGACAAGCAUCUUUGUCAACCUUUUGCUGGUGCUGCUCCUUUUGUAUUAUGCUCUAAUUGUUUUGAACUGCUGAGGCUACCGCAGAUAAUUCUACUCGUGUCAAAGAAAAUCUGCACGUUAUGCUGUGGAUCAUGCUCCGAGGUAAUGUCCUUAGAGCUUAUCGGAAAGAGGCUUGUUGCUUCUGCCACUCCACCAUCCACAGCUCAAGCUGAAACCAAAGGCAGUUCUCCUGUCGAAGUGAAACAAAUUAAGCAAUCUAAAGCCCAUAUUAUUGGAGAAUCAGAUACUUCUUACCAUGAAGCUGAUGAUGGCCCAUGCGAACUUAUGCAGUCGACAGAUGACAACCCUCCAAUAUCUAGUCAGGGACUGACGGAAAGAGAAUGUGUGUCACACUUGAGUGACGCCGAGAAAACAAAGAGACCUUCAAUGUCUUCCAAUACGUCUGAUAACGUGGAAAGCCCAGAUAGUGCAACAUAUCAGAGAGCUACACCCAGCACAACAGAACUUCCAUUUCAUGCAGAAGUCUUUUCAGAUGCUGCAGGUUCACCAGCUCAGGAUCAUCUUGGACACCCAUCAUCCAGUCAAGUAAUGGAUGGUUCCAGAAAUGGAGGCAUGAAUGAAUAUUCUGAUCGGGAAACGGUAGUUUCCUACACUGACAAGUUUCGGCAGAACUCUGCAAAAAAUGAAGUGGUUACUGAGAUUGAUGUGUCAGGGCAUGAAUAUCCCAGUUCUAGUUUUUCUGGGGAUUACCAGGAGAAAGAGAAAUAUGAAAAUCAAGCUGGGAUUGGCAUGAGUGAUGAUUCAUUAGUUUUUAGUCAGCUAGUGCAAGAUGAAAGAUCUGAAGUUUCAGUCAAUGGUCACCCUAUUGUUGAUCACUUGGUUAGGAAAGCUGAAAAACAAGCUGGACGCAUUUAUCCGGGAGAGUAUUGGUAUGAUCAUCGUGCUGGAUUUUGGGGAGUCAUGGGGCAGCCAUGUCUUGGGAUAAUUCCGCCAUUUAUACAAGAAUUUAAUUAUCCUAUAUCCAAGAAUUGUGCUGGUGGGAAUACUGGGGUUCUUGUUAAUGGAAGAGAGCUACAUCAUAAAGACCUAGCUUUGCUGGUUCGACGAGGACUCCCAACUACAGCUGGUCGAUCUUAUGUUCUUGAGUUUUCAGGGAAUGUUUUUGAUGAAGUCUCAGGUGAAGAGCUGGGUAAUCUUGGGAAGCUCGCACCAACAGUUGAGAAAAUGAGACGGGGAUUUGGUAUGAAGGUUCUGAGGUGAUUAGCAAGCUAGUGGCAUUCAUUUGUUGCUUCAAUUCCUUGGAACACUUGUAAAUGUGAGCAAGCUCCAUAAACAGUUGAAUGACAAAAAUAUAGAGGAACAAUAUAUUCUUAGAAUUUGGAUCAAAAUAACACCUCCAAAUACGGUACAUGUUUUGCAAAGAAACACAGUGCUAAAUACAUGGUACAAAAUAAAAAAUUAUUAUUGUAGAACCAAACCUUAUCUUUAUGAUUCAUUAGUUUGCCUUGGUGUUGGAAGGGUCCUAACAAGAAACAUGUCGCCCUGAUGAAUGUUUCUUGUGUCGAUAGUAUAUGUUUGGAUUUGUUGUAAUUGUUUGCCUUGCAAUUAGAUUACACUACCUGCAGUCUUCAAUAAUGCAUGCUUUGAUUAGCUGGAAUACUGCCUCUAUAGAUUGCCUUCAUUGAGCAGAUAAACACGUUGCUUAAGCCAUGAUCUAUAGAUCUCCGUAUUACAAGAGCACACCAGUUGGAUUUUAUUUUUGUGUAUAUAUAUGAAGAUAACCUAACACAUGAUCCAAGUCACAAAAAUAUUAUACAUAAAAUAAAUCCUUAUAAAGCAAAAAAAGAAUAUCUUCGUGACUUUGUGCACUCUAGCAACUUUCUGUGAACAUGGACUGUUAGGUUUUGAAAGAUUGGUGUGUGUCGAUGUCUACUUCCAGUGUUGCUCCUUGUCAAUAUCCAUGCUUAUAACUUUCACUGCUUGUAGGCACCAAAACCAUCCAAAACUUUUGGUGGUAGGAGAGUCUAUGACAUGUAGUUGCUGUGGCCUCACUCACCUUCAUAAAUCUUAUCAAGAGUUUGAUCACUAAUGCAAUUCCUUAUUGCAAUUUCUUCAUGCAAAAUGGAUUCAAAUUUUCCAAAUGCAAGCAUUAUUCAUUGAUAAUUCUGUGUACAUAUGAUCCUAACAUUAGCUGCCAAGCAGUCUGUCAGAGAAAGACGCUUGAUAGAUGAGAAAGAGGACAGUGAAAUUGCAGGGGAUUUGUUCAGCUUCCAGCUAAACCAUCACUUGGCCCGGUGGGGAUCACCAGUCGUGCUCAUUCCUCCUCUCCAGGCUUGGAUUCAUCUGAGUGUUGUUUCAUGAGAAGAAGCUGGAGAAGUCCGAUUCGAAGUCUAGCUCAUGGAGCAUUAAAUCCAUGUCCGCAGCAGCAGGUGAAUCUGAAGCUGAAUUAGCUCCUGUGACGCCAGACUCGGGGCUCUGAAGCUUGAUUCCUCCUCCUUUCAAGCUGUAUGGCGAGAACGAGAAGUAGGUCGAGUCUGAUGUUGGGGAGAGGAAGGCGGGCGACGCUCUGCUAAUGAAGCCACUGUCGGUCGUCGUGGAAGGCGACGCGAAGGAGAAGGAAAGCGAGGUCUGGCCAUGGCCGCCCAACUCCAAGUCUUCCGUCUUCACUUGGAGCCCCGUUUGGAAUCUCAAAAGCAAGUCUUGGUUCUGCUGCUGCCGAUCCGCGGGCUCCUUCUCUUCCUGCUGUUGCUGUUGCUGCUCCUGCGACAGCCAUGCUGAUGCUGAUGCUGGUGCCGCAGGGCUCUUCGGAAGGCAGGUGUGCGCCCCAUGAUAGGUCACAUGAAAUAGCAGCGGGUCCUCGUCCGAUCGCUGCACUUGCUUCGUCGCCGGGCAACCCUGCAUGAUGCGAUGUGUGCACCUGUAGUAGCCUCUGCAACAAGAAACAUUUCGACCUUCCAUCA